rnacentral:lncRNA from 1 species
UUUUAAGGGUCUCAUUGUCCAUAAAGCAUAAUUAGAGGACAAGCAGCAGCUGUGUUUGAACUGUAAAACCGAGUGUGGUCUGGGGAAUUCCCUGAAUUUACCACUGCUCUCAGAAGGAAGAUGUGUGCAGAAGACCAUUCUAUCCAACACUCAGUUGGCAAGCUGCAUGGAGAAACAUAUUGAAACCAUAAAAUUUACUCUCAGUCGGACAUUCUAUUCUCUGUCCUAAGGCAUACAUGUGAGCUUUUAAAGGUUUUGGUGUCCAGAUUCCUUCACUUGCUUUUUUAAAAUAUUAAUUUAUGUUUUAAUAAUUAAAACUUUUUAUAAAGAACUUGC